rnacentral:rRNA from 1 species
UAAAGAAUUUCGGUUAUCGAUGGGGAUGCGUUCCAUUAGUUAGUUGGCGGGGUAACGGCCCACCAAGACGACGAUGGAUAGGGGUUCUGAGAGGAAGGUCCCCCACAUUGGAACUGAGACACGGUCCAAACUCCUACGGGAGGCAGCAGUGAGGAAUAUUGGUCAAUGGACGAGAGUCUGAACCAGCCAAGUAGCGUGAAGGAUGACUGCCCUAUGGGUUGUAAACUUCUUUUAUAUGGGAAUAAAACAGGGUAUGCAUACCCUCUUGUAUGUACCAUAUGAAUAAGGAUCGGCUAACUCCGUGCCAGCAGCCGCGGUAAUACGGAGGAUCCGAGCGUUAUCCGGAUUUAUUGGGUUUAAAGGGAGCGUAGGUGGAUUGUUAAGUCAGUUGUGAAAGUUUGCGGCUCAACCGUAAAAUUGCAGUUGAAACUGGCAGUCUUGAGUACAGUAGAGGUGGGCGGAAUUCGUGGUGUAGCGGUGAAAUGCUUAGAUAUCACGAAGAACUCCGAUUGCGAAGGCAGCUCACUGGACUGCAACUGACACUGAUGCUCGAAAGUGUGGGUAUCAAACAGGAUUAGAUACCCUGGUAGUCCACA